CACGUAGGGUGCGAGCGUUGUCCGGAAUUAUUGGGCGUAAAGAGCUCGUAGGCGGUGUGUCGCGUCGGCCGUGAAAACCUGCAGCUUAACUGUGGGCUUGCGGUCGAUACGGGCAUCACUGGAGUUCGGCAGGGGAGACUGGAAUUCCUGGUGUAGCGGUGAAAUGCGCAGAUAUCAGGAGGAACACCGGUGGCGAAGGCGGUUCUCUGGGCAUUACCUGACGCU
rnacentral:rRNA from 1 species